UACGUAGGGAGCAAGCGUUGUUCGGAAUUACUGGGCGUAAAGGGCGCGUAGGCGGCCUGCUAAGUCGGAACGUGAAAUCCCCCGAGCUCAACUCGGGAACUGCGUCCGAUACUGACAGGCUUGAAUCCGGGAGAGGGAUGCGGAAUUCCAGGUGUAGCGGUGAAAUGCGUAGAGAUCGGGAGGAACAUCAGUGGCGAAGGCGGCCAUCUGGGACAACACUGACGCUGAGGCACGAAAGCGUGGGGAGCAAACAGGG
rnacentral:rRNA from 1 species